CCUCCUCCCAGAGUAUUAGGAGAGGAAGAGACGUGGAGUGUCUCUCUUACUGGCUCAGCCUUGGCUGGUUUCUCCAUGCAGCUUUAAAUGCUCUAAAAUAAAAGAAAUUGAAUUCAGUUUUGUUUUUUUCUACUUUAUUCCUUCCCCCCUUAUUUAUUUGUCGCGCAGGAAGAUCUGGACAAUAGGUCAGGUUGAGCAGGCGCAUCUGGAUGAACCAGGACUAAAGUCCGUGAUGCAUGCUGUCUCUAUAUAUCACUCGAGGCUGGCUGGUGGCAGUGGACGACCGCUAAACGACAUAGGAGGUUAUUGUGUGCACUCAUAGGAAAUCGAUUAAUCAUUAAUCCUCCGCCGCCUUCUCGGCGACCUGUCUGCUAGUCCAAGAGGAGGAAGACGAGCAGUGGCUUCAGCCUCAGCUUCGGGUUCUGCCUGAGGUCAGUAACCCAUCCCACCAUGUCCAAACCCAUCAGAAUAAAGUUCCUUUGCCUCCUCUUCAUCAUCAUAUGUGUAGUCGCGUUCUUUAUUAGCAACAGAUCACCCAGCUUCAACCCGAGACCAGUUGUUCCAGAGGUUUGUCCGCGAUCAGUCUCCAAAGAGAGCAUAACUCCCCUGAAAAACACCAAGCACUUCUUGGUCUCAGCCUUCAUGGAUCAGAGAGUACAGGGCUUUGACAUUCGCCUCAUCGGGAUGUUUCGGAGAGACUCCAUCCAGGAACUCCACUGCUUUUUCUGCUGUGCCGACUACACAAGUGAAACCACUCC